rnacentral:rRNA from 1 species
AGCGAACGCUGGCGGCAGGCCUAACACAUGCAAGUCGAACGGACCCUUCGGGGUUAGUGGCGGACGGGUGAGUAACACGUGGGAACGUGCCCUUUGGUUCGGAACAACCCAGGGAAACUUGAGCUAAUACCGAAUGUGCCCUUCGGGGGAAAGAUUUAUCGCCAUUGGAGCGGCCCGCGUCUGAUUAGCUAGUUGGAGGGGUAAUGGCCUACCAAGGCGACGAUCAGUAGCUGGUCUGAGAGGAUGAUCAGCCACAUUGGGACUGAGACACGGCCCAAACUCCUACGGGAGGCAGCAGUGGGGAAUCUUGCGCAAUGGGCGAAAGCCUGACGCAGCCAUGCCGCGUGAAUGAUGAAGGUCUUAGGAUUGUAAAAUUCUUUCACCGGGGACGAUAAUGACGGUACCCGGAGAAGAAGCCCCGGCUAACUUCGUGCCAGCCGCCGCGGUAAUAC